GACGAACGCUGGCGGCGUGCUUAACACAUGCAAGUCGAACGGAAAGGCCCUGCUUGCAGGGUACUCGAGUGGCGAACGGGUGAGUAACACGUGGGUGAUCUGCCCUGCACUUCGGGAUAAGCCUGGGAAACUGGGUCUAAUACCGGAUAGGAGCCAUUUUUAGUGUGAUGGUUGGAAAGUUUUUUCGGUGUAGGAUGAGCUCGCGGCCUAUCAGCUUGUUGGUGGGGUAAUGGCCUACCAAGGCGGCGACGGGUAGCCGGCCUGAGAGGGUGGACGGCCACAUUGGGACUGAGAUACGGCCCAGACUCCUACGGGAGGCAUCAGGGGGGAAUAUUGCACAAUGGGCGCAAGCCUGAUGCAGCGACGCCGCGUGGGGGAUGACGGCCUUCGGGUUGUAAACUCCUUUCGCUAGGGACGAAGCUUUUUGUGACGGUACCUAGAUAAGAAGCACCGGCUAACUACGUG
rnacentral:rRNA from 1 species